UACGUAGGGUGCAAGCGUUGUCCGGAAUUAUUGGGCGUAAAGGGCGCGUAGGCGGCGAAUCAAGUCAGCUGUGAAAUCUCCGAGCUUAACUCGGAACGGUCAGCUGAUACUGUUUUGCUAGAGUGCAGAAAGGGCAACCGGAAUUCUUGGUGUAGCGGUGAAAUGCGUAGAUAUCAAGAGGAACACCUGAGGCGAAGGCGGGUUGCUAGGCUGACACUGACGCUGAAGCGCGAAAGCUAGGGUAGCAAACGGG
rnacentral:rRNA from 1 species